rnacentral:rRNA from 1 species
AGUGAACGCUGGCGGCGUGCCUAAUACAUGCAAGUCGAACGGAGUGGCGCACGGGUGAGUAAUGUAUAGCUAAUCUGCCCUACAAUGGAGGACAACAGUUGGAAAAGGCGGCUACUACUCUAUAGUGUAGGAUGAGGCUAUCUAGUAUCAGCUAGUUGGUGAGGUAAUGGCUCACCAAGGCUAUGACGAAUAACUGGGCUGAGAGGAUGAUCAGUCACACUGGAACUGAGACACGGUCCAGACUCCUACGGGAGGCAGCAGUAGGGAAUAGUGCUCAAUGGGGGAAACCCUGAAGCAGCAACGCCGCGUGGAGGAUGACACUUUUCGGAGCGUAAACUCCUUUUGUUAGGGAAGCGGUACCUAACGAAUAAGCACCGGCUAACUCCGUGCCAGCAGCCGCGGUAAUAC